AUCUUCUCAUAGUCGCACCUGGAGGGUUUCCAGUACUCUACCAGUCUCAGCUAUGAGAGGGAGAGUCAAGCAGAGGCCUGUCCAUUCCAUUCCUAGCCUGGCCAGUGGCUAGCAAGUGGAAGGCAAUCUUCAACAAGU